AAACAGAGAAUAUAAAUUACAUAUAAUCAAUUAUCAUCAAUAUUCAUUACAAUUUUAAAAUGUCUUGCACAAAAUCUCAAAUGUGAACCUAACAAUUUUACAAAAUCUAAUAAAAAGUUUCAAAAACAAAUUCUAAAGAUGCAAUGUUCUUCGAAUACCAACUUUUUCAACUACAUAUGGCAUUUCUCCCUUCUGCAUUCAAGCUAGCAUUGUCGUAUUACCUGCAAAACCCAAGGAAGGAGAGAAAAUCAAGAAAUGGUUAGAUAGCAACUAAAAACCAAAACUUCCAUUUUUUCUAAGUAAUUAGCAAUUCUUGCAUCAUCUUUUAUCCUCGCCAAAGCUUCAAAACCAUAUAGAUCUCACCUCAGGACGAAUGUUUAAACAGAACGAAUGCUAAAUUUUUCAAAGUAGUAAAUUUACUCUAUAUGCUAAUAAUGUUUAUUUUAUAUAUUAAUUUCAUUUUAUAGAUGCAAAUAAGUCAUCUAUAUAUAUGUAAGCAGAUUAAAACUUCCAAAUAAUCAAAGACAAAAUAUGAUCAUUCAUUACCACAUAACAUAUAUGUGGAAUUCGAUUAUUAUCAUUUCUUAUUACAAAAAUUUCAUAUUACUUAGUUUUAUUAAAUGUAGAAUAUAUUGUAUAUAUACUAUUUGACAUUGACUGAUGAGCAUUGAAGUUUACCUUUAUACAGAGAGGGCAAUAGUUUUCCUUAACAAACAAUCUUCCACAAGCAUCACAACAAGUAUACCCUAAAACCACCUGCAGUCGAAUUAAUUCAAAUCAAUGAGAAGUGGAAUACUUUAAAAGAAUCAUCUUCACAUUCAUAUCAGGAUACCAUUCCAUAGUCCGAUAUCAAGUAAUAUAGAGAAGCACUUCCUUCAUUUUUAAACAAGGUAUAGAUAGCUCAAGUACUGUUCUUGUUUGUUAUAAUAUGAAUUAAGCUAUGUGCAUCUACAACAAGAAACCAUCACUUGAAACAGCAGGAAACUCAAUCAUACACCAUCAACAAUGUAUAUUAUGUAUCAUCUCCAGGCAAAACACCUCAUAUAACCAAACCACGGAGAUAACGAAACCAAAUUUCAAAAUUUAAAUGACAAAAAUAUUGAAUCACUAACGUUAAUAGCAAAUUCAAUAGCGAGUAAUUGAAAAUCACAAGACCCCAACCUCCUCGAGUAAUCCUCCCUAAUGAUCGACGCGACAACACCUAGUUUCUGCAGCUUCACCUGAGUUAAGAUAAAGAGCAGUGGUAAAUAGUUUCUCAUAAGCAAUGCACUCACACACACACUAUAUUCCAAAUGCAACUAGUUCAAGAAACAAACAUAAUUUAAUAUGCUCUGCAUAUCUAUAACUUUGCUCAUAGUUCAUAAUAAUAUAAUUGCUGUAGUAAUUGUAAUGGAUUCGUCUUCCCACGUAGUUCACGAGUUCAUCCAUUCUAAUUAGGGAACCCUAACUAGUCAUAGAGAAUGAAAAAUUUACCUCACUCGACUAAGAACAAUAGACAGAAAAGAACAAGAGAGAGAGACAGAGAUACGUUGGUGAAGACACCAAAAACCAGUACCUCGGAUUGAAAUCGCAGAGAAAUCGCAGACUUGAGGCGGCUUGGAGAAAGGGGAGCUCGCGCCUCGGGCUUCUCAAUCGAGUAAAAUGGCUGGGUGGAUCUCACUGAGAGUCAGGCGGCGGAGCGAUGGAGUCAACGGCGGAGCGGCUCCGAGGCGCCAUGGGGUGACCGAAGGAGAUAGGAGCAGCGGCGACCACCUAGGGUUCGAGAGUUGGGGGCUGAAACAUUGAGAAACAACACCACAUGAGAAGAACAAGAGAGAGAGACAGAGAUACGUUGGUGAAGACACCAAAAACCAGUACCUCGGAUUGAAAUCGCAGAGAAAUCGCAGACUUGAGGCGGCUUGGAGAAAGGGGAGCUCGCGCCUCGGGCUUCUCAAUCGAGUAAAAUGGCUGGGUGGAUCUCACUGAGAGUCAGGCGGCGGAGCGAUGGAGUCAACGGCGGAGCGGCUCCGAGGCGCCAUGGGGUGACCGAAGGAGAUAGGAGCAGCGGCGACCACCUAGGGUUCGAGAGUUGGGGGCUGAAACAUUGAGAAGCAACACCACAUGAGAGAGGCACGAGAUGUUGCGUCGGCCGAUAAAAUGGCUGGGGAAAAAAUAUGGAGGCGGCAUAGGGAAGCUGUUGAGUCGCCCGGAGUAGGGUGGCGCAGGGAGGUCGGGGAGAGGAUUGGAAAGAAGAUGGAGGUGGCUGGGAAUGAUAGGUUGGCUCUAGGGCUGAAAUCUAAUUCAUAACUUUACCUUUUUUUUAUUGUUAAUAUCUUACAGUAAAAUAAAUUGAAAAUAGGCUAUAAAAUCGGUUUUUAACCGGUUUGAUAGAGUUUAAGUAAAAUCGGUUUCGUAAUAUAACUACGACACCACAACAAAGAAACCGGUAAUAAAAUACCGGUUUCUAUUAGCGCUUUUUUUUAUAAAAGAAACCGGUUAUAUCUACGAAACCGGUUUUUUAGGCUAUGAAACCGGUUUUUAGUCAAAACCGGUUUCUUUUUAGUGGUUUCUAUUUGAGUUUUUGUUGUAGUGACUCAUUCUUCACUCAUCAAAUACACAAUAAAUUUUUAUCAAAAUUCGUGUCACCCUCUCGUUUAAUAACAUGUUCAAUGGACGGGGAAGUAUUAAUUUAUCAAUAUAUAUUUUGUAUUCAUUGGCGCGUAAAAAUCCGUCAUCAAUCAAAUUGCAUUACCUUCUCAAUAUUUAAAAAUAUAUAAUCUAUAAUAUAUUAAAAAUGCAAUUUUCAAUUUGAAAUUGAUUUCGAAUUAAUUCGGAUGGCAAUUUUGUGAAUUGUAGAAAAAUUAAUGUCAUAAUUUAUGCAAAAUCCAAAUUAUAAUAUUACUAAAAUUAACCAUCAUAUAACAAAAAAAAAUCAUUCAUUAACUGUCAUUAACUUUUUAAUAUUAAUUUAAGUACAUCCAUGUAAAUAUAUUAUAAUAAGGUACAAAAAAUUGAAAUAAAAAAAUGGGUAAAAUUUUAAUAGUUUAACAGGUGAUUUAAAAUUAAUAUACAUAUAUAAUUGCUAUCGAAAUUUAAAAUUUAUAAUUUCAAGUUCCUUACACGAUUACAACGUCCAUAUAAUUUUAGGUUCCCUACAUACACUCUUCAUAUAGUUUUAUAUAUAAUUUAAAAUUUCAAAACUAUAAACUAUUUUCCAUGCAUCGCACGGAGGGCAAAUCUAAUUACAAUUACAUCAAGAGUUUUUUCAGCGUCCGCCCCCAUCAUCUAUUAAUUCGACAACUACAUGGGAUUAAAUGAACUCCUACACAUCUAAUUCAAUUUUAAUUAGACACUACUACAAAAAUGCACAUACAUAACACUUCAUACAUAACGGUUUUUUUUAAAAACCGUUAUGUAUGAGCGCAUUUUUGGAAUAGAUAACGGUUUUUACAAAAAACCGUUAUCUAUGUACUGUUGUCCAUACACUUAGAUAUCGGUUUGAGUUAAACCGUUAUGUUUGUGUGUUAUCUAUUAGUUACAUACAUAACGGUACUACAAAACCGUUAAGCCGACCGUUAUCUAUGAUCAUCUUUUUAUAACGGUUGUUUUAACCGUUAUAUAUGAGCGUCUCAAGACCGUUAUGUAUUAUUUUUUAUAUUUAUUUUUAACAUUAAUAAUAUUAUAACAAAUUAAAAUCCUAAUUUCCUAAUACACACUAGCGAACCUACAGUCUCCUUCUUCUCUAAAGUUUGAAACGGUACCCCUCUCUCUCGCCAUUCUCUGUCGACUCCGGUGAGCGGCCGCCCUGAAUCGCAGCCUCCCUCUGGCGCGACGAGGUCGGCCCCUGUUCUUCCUCCUCCUCUCCUUCCCUUUUGUGCCCUAUUUUUUCCCCAAGAACAAAAUCCUCAAUUUCUAGGGUUUUCAGCCUCCCUUUCCUCUCUGAAUUUCGCCCCUCCGGCGAAUCCCGCCACUACCACCGCCGCCUCGCACAGCUGCUCCCUGCCUCAGGUAACACCUUUUUUCUCGUGAAAAUGGUGACCCGAUUUCACGUACGCUCCCUGCUCACCACCAAGCUGCUUCUCUUAUCGGCGUUCUCUCACUCCCGCGGCGUCACUGCCAUCUUUGCUCCAGAGGGCCAUCUCCGACGAAUUCCUCCGAUUCGAGCCUUACCUGAAGUGCGCCUGCAAGAGAUUCAUCAUGGAGCUGCGCCCUACCUUCAAGUACACCGAGGUUUGUUUCAUACCGUUUCUCUCUGUCUUUGAAACGCCGAUGAAUUUGCCUACGAUCAUGUUGUUUAAUGUUAAAUCUAGUUAGAAUUUGAGAGGCUCUUGUGUACUGGUGUGUUAUAGAUUGAAAUCAUAAAGUAACUAUUGAAUCUCUGUUUAUAUUGUUGCAUUUUUGCCUAUGGUUAGUCUUAAUUUUGUGGCAGCUUAACUCCGUCUGCAGCAUAAUGAAGUAGUAUUUCUUUAAAAAGUUCUAAUCGAGAAUUUAAAAAAUUUAAAAAUUGUGAACUAUCAUUAACCCCUUAAUAAAAAUAUUCAUUAAUAUCUACUACUCAGUGUGCAUGUGUGUUGCAAUAGGUCAAAUUAAUGCGUGAAGAAAAUUAGUAAUAAGUUAAAACUAUAUAAUGUUUUCAAUUUCUAAAAGUAUAGUGUGAUCAGAUAAUGAUAUAUUUGACGUACAUGUCGGAAUAAUAUUAGUCAACACUCCAUACAUACCUGCCCCAGAAAUUUAAAAUGAAAGAACAACAAACUUGACUUACGAAAACUCCCAUAUCAUCAUUGUCUAUAUAGAUGCCUUUGCUAAUUCCCACAUAAAAGGAAAAAAAUUAAAAUAAAAAACUUUUGAAAAACCUGUGAAAUUAAAAAUGAAGAUGAUGUUUGCUUUGAAGGUUAUAACACUAGCAACAAUUUUUGCUAUUGCUGGAAUUCAGGCAAGAAAUAGUCCAGGUGAUGAUGCAAAUAACAUAUUGGGUUAGUUUCUCUCUCUCUCUCUCUCUCUCUCUCUCUCUCUCUCUCACACACACACACACAGAGUAGUGAAUUUGGACCAUGAUAACAUUGUAGCCAAAUUAAUUUUAGCUUGUGAUUAAUUAUAUGCAGAAAAUGAUAUUCACAGUAUAAAAGGAGACAGUUUACUUAGUUGCAAUUCCAUGCCACGCUGGCUAGUGGUGAUCAGUCAUUACGUGCCACGUGUACGGUACGAUGAGCACCACCGCUCAACGUCGACUAAUCUUGGAAAAGACGCGGCGCCGGCGCCGCCACCGCCGCAGUCAGCCACUGGACCCAGGCAGAUUUAUUCAUACACAAAUUCCAUUGAAAUUCAGAAUUUUUCUGAAUAAAAUUAAAAGUUAGCUCUAAUAUAUGUAUACAUCUGUUGAGUUCAGUUUGUUUAAUUAGUGGAGUAAGAAUUUCUUUUGCUGGCGGGAUCAAGUUUAUGUCUUCUGUAACAAAUGUCAAGUUUUGUUUAGUUUAAUUUUUGGUAUAUAAGUGGGAGUGGGUCAGUGUUGAUGCCUCUCUGUUUCAUGUUAGAUUAAAAUUGUAUAGUAGUUCAUUUUAUAUAUAUAUAUAUAUAUUCCCUUUCAAAAUAGCAUGCGUGUGUGAACUCAUCAUCGAAUUGAAUAAUAGUAAAAAUACUUUAUUGAAAUUUUAAAAUUACCACCAAACAUUUUUUUUAAUUCUGCAUUGAUGCCAAAUUGCAUGAAAAUAAUGACGGAUACGUGUGUGUGCGCGCGUGCAUGUAUAUAUAUAUAUAUAGGAUUAUUAUAUACUCAACUAAUUAACUAAAAUAUAUAGUAAGAAUUAUUUGGAAGUUUUGCUCUUGUACAAAAAGUUUAUACUCAUAUAUGUAUAAAACUUUCAUCAUAAUGCAUGAAAAAUUAUUAAGUUCUCAUUUGAGUAAUUAAUACUCUUUUUACAACUUUUUGGCUAAAAUAAAAACGUUAGCAGGAAACGAUAAAAAAAGAAAAAUAGGAAAAAACCGAAAAAAAAACAUUAUGUUCCAUUAAUUAGACAUGCAGUAUAGAGGGUAUAAAGAGAAAAAAUAAAUAAAUAGAAUAUAAUAUAAUAUUUGAGGCUAUAUUUUGUCACGUCUAAUUUUCAAGGUUAUAUGUUGAAUAAUUUAGAGGCUAUAAGUUUUAAAGGAAUGCAAUUCAAAAAUAACAUGUAAAAAAUGUUUUUAAUACAAAUGAGAACCCUUUCACUACAAAAAAGCGCCGAUUUACCGGCAGGAUUUACCGGCGGCCGCUAUGCCGCCGGCGAUCACCGGCGGCUUUCCGACGGCGGUGCUGCCGACCCGUAUUUUUUGAAUAUAUGGCGUUGAUACCGGCGGCAACGUCACCGCCGGUGAUCACCGGCGGCAUAG
rnacentral:lncRNA from 1 species